UACGAAGGGGGCUAGCGUUGUUCGGAAUGACUGGGCGUAAAGGGUGUGUAGGCGGUUUUAAACGUCAGAUGUGAAAUCCCCGGGCUUAACCUGGGAAUGGCAUUUGAUACGGUAAAGCUAGAGGUUGGUAGAGGGUAGUGGAAUUGCGAGUGUAGAGGUGAAAUUCGUAGAGAUUCGCAGGAACGCCGGUGGCGAAGGCGGCUACCUGGGCCAAAACUGACGCUGAGGCACGAAAGCGUGGGGAGCAAACAGG
rnacentral:rRNA from 1 species